GACGAACGCUGGCGGCGUGCUUAACACAUGCAAGUCGAACGGUAAGGCCCUUCGGGGUACACGAGUGGCGAACGGGUGAGUAACACGUGGGUGAUCUGCCCUGCACCUCGGGAUAAGCCUGGGAAACUGGGUCUAAUACCGGAUAGGACUCCGGACUGCAUGGUCUGGGGUGGAAAGCUUUUGCGGUGUGUGAUGGGCCCGAGGCCUCUCAGCUUGUUGGUGGGGUGAUGGCCUACCAAGGCGACGACGGGUAGCCGGCCUGAGAGGGUGACCGGCCACACUGGGAAUGAGAUGCGGACCAGACUCAUUCGGGGGGCAGAAGUGGGGAAUAUUGCAAAUUGGGAGCAAGCUUGAUGGAUAGACGCCGCGUGUGGGAUGACGGCCUUCGGGUUGUAAACCUCUUUCAGCAUCGACGUAGCGAAAGUGACGGUAGGUGCAGAAGAAGGACCGGCCAACUACGUGCCAGCAGCCGCGGUAA
rnacentral:rRNA from 1 species